AAGAAAGCCAAUGGACCUGGGGAAAGUAGCCAGGCUCAUGGAAAUAAUGGUUUCACAGUCAAGUGUCACUUUUGUGGCAAGAAGGGACAUGUGAAGAAGGACUGUAACAAGCGUAAGGCUUGGUUCGAAAAGAAGGGGAUACCUUUCAACCCGGAAACCGAAGGAAAGUGAAAGAUUUGUCUUUAUGGGGAACCGUCUCAAGGUUGAAGUGGUAGCUGUUGGUACCUAUCGCUUGGUUUUAGAGACGGGUCAUCAGAUAGAUCUUGAAGACACAUUUUAUGUUCCCUCUAUUUCUAGGAAUUUGGUUUCUUUAUCUAGAUUAGUUUGUUCUGGAUAUUCAGUUUCAUUUGGUUGUCGAAAACUCAAAUUGAUGUUUAAUUCAAUAAUGGUUGGUUCUGGU